rnacentral:rRNA from 1 species
UAGGGAAUCUUCCGCAAUGGACGCAAGUCUGACGGAGCAACGCCGCGUGAGUGAAGAAGGAUUUCGGUUCGUAAAACUCUGUUGUUAGAGAAGAACAGCGCAUAGAGUAACUGUUAUGCGUGUGACGGUAUCUAACCAGAAAGCCACGGCUAACUACGUGCCAGCAGCCGCGGUAAUACGUAGGUGGCAAGCGUUGUCCGGAUUUAUUGGGCGUAAAGCGAGCGCAGGCGGUCAAUUAAGUCUGAUGUGAAAGCCCCCGGCUCAACCGGGGAGGGUCAGUGGAAACUGGUUGGAUUGAGUGCAGAAGAGGAGAGUGGAAUUCCAUGUGUAGCGGUGAAAUGCGUAGAUAUAUGGAGGAACACCAGUGGCGAAGGCGACUCUCUGGUCUGUAACUGACGCGGAGGCUCGAAAGCGUGGGUAGCAAACAGG